AGGACGAACGCUGGCGGCGUGCUUAACACAUGCAAGUGGAGCGACGAACCAGGGCUUGCCCUGGGGCAGAGCCGCGAACGGGUGAGUAACACGUGGGUUACCUGCCUUGAUGACUGGGACAACCCGAGGAAACUCGGGCUAAUACCGGAUGUGCCCGCAAGGGGAAAGGAAGCUUCGGCCUCCGCAUCAAGAUGGGCCCGCGGCCCAUUAGCUUGUUGGUGAGGUAACGGCUCACCAAGGCUUCGAUGGGUAGCUGGUCUGAGAGGACGAUCAGCCACACUGGGACUGAGACACGGCCCAGACUCCUACGGGAGGCAGCAGUGGGGAAUCUUGCGCAAUGCGCGAAAGCGUGACGCAGCAACGCCGCGUGGGGAAGACGGCUUUCGGGUUGUAAACCCCUUUCAGUUGGGACGAAGCUUCUCCGGUGAAUAGCCGGACGGAGUGACGGUACCUUCACAAGAAGCACCGGCUAACUCGUGCCAGCAGCCGC
rnacentral:rRNA from 1 species